GAUGAAGAACGUAGCGAAAUGCGAUACGUAAUGUGAAUUGCAGAAUUCAGUGAAUCAUCGAGUCUUUGAACGCACAUUGCGCCCCCUGGUAUUUCGGGGGGCAUGCCUGUCCGAGCGUCAUUGCUGCCCUCAAGCACGGCUUGUGUGUUGGGCCUCCGUCCUCCUCCCGGGGGACGGGCCCGAAAGGCAGCGGCGGCACCGCGUCCGGUCCUCGAGCGUAUGGGGCUUCGUCACCCGCUCUUGUAGGCCCGGCCGGCGCUUGCCGACACAUCAAUCUUUUUUCCAGGUUGACCUCGGAUCAGGUAGGGAUACCCGCUGAACUUAAGCAUAUCAAUAAGCGGAGGA
rnacentral:misc_RNA from 1 species